rnacentral:lncRNA from 1 species
CGUGUAAUUUAUGUAGCUCUCAUUUUCGCAUGUAAUUUACAUGUUCUGUUCUCUCCCCCUCAUUCUAUGCAAACUUAUAUAAAUGUUUAGUUGUAGGCUUUACUACACGUGACUUUUUGUGCAUUGUAUAGUUCUUGCCCCCAUUAGAUUUCUGAUAUUUCUAUUGAUUUAUGUUGCAUGUUAAGAUAAUAUUUGUUUUUAGUUACUUUUCCCCUCUAUUCUUUUGUAAAAACUGCUUGAAUUUAAUUAGAAAGUUCAAUGGAAAGUGGCUGUGGUAGUUUGGCCUCCAUUAUGAUUUUCCAGU